AGAUAAUAGAUACCCAGGUAGUCCACGCCGUAAACUAUGCUUGCUAGCUGUUAUCAGUAUCGACCCUGGUAGUAGCGAAGCUAACGCGUUAAGCAAGCCGCCUGUGGAGUACGAGCGCAAGCUUAAAACCCUAAAGGAAUUGACGGGGACCCGCACAAGCGGUGGAGCGUGUUGUUUAAUUCGACGGUAAGCGAAGAACCUUACCCAGGCUUGACAUCCUGCCAAGUUUUCCGAAAGGAAAAUGUGCCUUCGGGCCGCAGUGACAGGUGAUGCAUGGCCGUCGUCAGCUCGUGUCGUGAGAUGUUUGGUUAAGUCCAUCAACGAGCGCAACCCUUAUAGUCAGUUGAAUUUUUCUGGCUAGACUGCCCCGGUAACGGGGUAGGAAGGAGGGGUACGAUGUCAGGUCAUUAUUUCCCUUACGGUCUGGGGCUACAAACACGCUACAAUGGCCGGUACAAAGGGCAGCUAAGUCGUGAGGCGGAGC
rnacentral:rRNA from 1 species